rnacentral:rRNA from 1 species
AUUGAACGCUGGCGGCAGGCCUAACACAUGCAAGUCGAACGAGUGGCGGACGGGUGAGUAAUGUCUGGGAAACUGCCCGAUGGAGGGGGAUAACUACUGGAAACGGUAGCUAAUACCGCAUCCACUCGGAUGUGCCCAGAUGGGAUUAGAUGGUGGGUGGGGUAACGGCUCACCAGGGCGCCGAUCCCUAGCUGGUCUGAGAGGAUGACCAGCCACACUGGAACUGAGACACGGUCCAGACUCCUACGGGAGGCAGCAGUGGGGAAUAUUGCAAAAUGGGCGCAAGCCUGACGCAGCCAUGCCGCGUGUAUGAAGAAGGCCUUCGGGUUGUAAAGUACUUUCAGCGAGGAGGCGUUACUCGCAGAAGAAGCACCGGCUAACUCCGUGCCAGCCGCCGCGGGAAUUC